rnacentral:rRNA from 1 species
AUUGAACGCUGGCGGCAGGCCUAACACAUGCAAGCCGAGCGGAUGACGGGAGCUUGCUCCUUGAUUCAGCGGCGGACGGGUGAGUAAUGCCUAGGAAUCUGCCUGGUAGUGGGGGACAACGUUUCGAAAGGAACGCUAAUACCGCAUACGUCCUACGGGAGAAAGCAGGGGACCUUCGGGCCUUGCGCUAUCAGAUGAGCCUAGGUCGGAUUAGCUAGUUGGUGAGGUAAUGGCUCACCAAGGCGACGAUCCGUAACUGGUCUGAGAGGAUGAUCAGUCACACUGGAACUGAGACACGGUCCAGACUCCUACGGGAGGCAGCAGUGGGAAUAUUGGACAAUGGGCGAAAGCCUGAUCCAGCCAUGCCGCGUGUGUGAAGAAGGUCUUCGGAUUGUAAAGCACUUUAAGUUGGGAGGAAGGGCAGUAAGUUAAUACCUUGCUGUUUUGACGUUACCGACAGAAUAAGCACCGGCUAACUCUGUGCCAGCCGCCGCGGUAA